rnacentral:lncRNA from 1 species
CUGUAGGCCAGGCCCAUGUAUGGGCAUUCAGCACUGGCUACACGAAUUCAAAUUGAGGGACUUCCUGGACAUCCUCUCAUCUGCGACAGACCAAACAACCUCCCGGUGCCUCGCCUGCUGUGGGUGAGGCCUCCUUCCCGGGCUCAGGCCUGCAGGCUCUGCCCAAGCACUGCCCCCUUGCUUCCUCCAUGGUAAGUAAACUCCCCAGAAGAGGAAUCUUAGUGCCUGGUGCUAAAGAACCCCCAAAACAGAGGCGGGCUCGGAGCCCCUGCUUCGAGAGUCGACACAGUUCCUUCGGUGGCGGGGCCGGGCAGCUCAGGCCUGGCACCAUGAUACCUUGCUCAGUGCUGGGUGCCGCCUUGGCCCUUCCCCUGGCCCCGAGCUUAUAUUUUCCCCACCUUCUUCCUGACUUCCCACUUCCAUCCCACUCUCAGCGCCACCUCCACCCCAUCACAUCCCCCUUCCCUGGACGGCACAGAUUCUCCAGAGGUGUGGGGACAGUGGCUGUUUUAUUUUUGUUCCUCCUUAGAUGUUCUGUUUGUUGAGCGAAUUAUUUUCUUCCUGGCUCCGAGCUGGCGGCUGACACGGCUCACCCGCGCUAAUUAGCUAAGCCAGCUGGUGCGUUGGUAAGGUUUUUCUGUGCUCCUCGGUGUGUGUUUCUUUUUUUAAACAUGAUCAAUACCCUGUCCGGCUGGGCUCCCUCACACACUCCCUAUUGUUCUCCUGUUUGCAUUGUGCCUGAGUCCUGGUCAAGGACUCGGGGAGCCUCGGAAGACACGCUUUUCCCGCGGCUGGCGUUCAGCCUGGAGCCGGGGAGACACCGCGCAGCAGAUGUGGCUCGACCCCCUGCUCCGCGCCUGCAGCUUGCAGUGAUUUUCCGUAGCUGUGGACAGUGCCUCAGGAAGCCCACAUGGAUGCCAGACAGUCGGGUAAAGAUGAGAAAUUGCUGUGUGGCUCCGGGGCAGAUUGCCUUGCCUCUCUGAGCCUCUGCUUCUUUCUUUGUAAAAGAAGUCGGUUCCCAGUUCCAGUGUGAGUCUCCUACAUACUAUGAUUCUCAAAGGUUUCAAAGGGCAUCCGGAGAUGGGGGCCCUCCCCGUGAGUAGGGGUACAAGGUCACAAACAGGAUCUUGUUCACUCCUGCUGCAGUCCUGGAGUUAAACAAUAUAGACCUUUGCCAAGUGAGCUCCGGAAGAGGCCACAACCAGACAGGGGUGGGCUGAAGGCCCGACCCCCCUCCUCCAGCUGGUGCUGUCCUCCCCACAGUUCCCUGGAGUCUGCCUGCUUAUUUUGUGCAAGAGACACAAGAAGAUUCUCUGAAGCUCUCCCUUCCCCACUGUCGUUCAGCUGUAGUGAUUGGGAGCCCACAAUGUGCACUGCGGAGAAGAUAGCUCCAACAUGUUUUUAAUAUAAUUGUAGAUUUUAAAUCUGGAAGGAAUCUGACAAGUCACUUGGUUGGCUCAACCUUCCAUCUUUAGGCAAAUAGAGGAUUUGUAAUCAGAAGACCUGAAUUUGAAUCCGAGAUCUACCACUUAACACCGGUAUCUAGAACUCUGAGCAACUUGUUUGACCUUUCCCAGUCUCAUUUUCUUCAAAUGUAAGAAAAGAGUUGUAUUAACAAAUAUCUGCCCAUCUCAUAGAUUUGUUGUGAGGAUCAAACGAAGGGAUGUAAUGAAGAAGGCAGAUAGAAUUUUAUGUUAAUAUUAUUUGAUUUUUACCUGAAGAUAAAUAAGACUCAAAGAGGUUAAAUGGGUUACCCAAGAAGAAACUCCUCACCUACCAAGAUGGUAUCAGCAACUCAACAAUAUGCAGUCAAGUUUCCACCAUCAUACCCUUCCGUUUGGACUGUAGACCCAACAACUAGGAGUUGACUGAAGUAAAUGAAUGCUGGAUCCAGGCAAGAAAUUGUCAAAAUAACAAGAUUGAGGUACCAGGGUGCCAAAUGGCAGACAGACUGAAGAACUAGGAAACAAAACAAGGUCAAACUAUGAACAAACUCUCACCGUAACAGAAGUUAAUAUAUAGGUUACAUCAACCAAGUAUAGGUAUCUUAUGGUCACAGUGUUAGGAGAAAAUAAUGUUUAUCCGAUUCUGCCUACAACUGUAGAUUGAAGAAAGAACCACUUGCUUUCUAGGUUUCUUAUAAAGGGUAUUUAUUGUAUUGUCUCUGACCAGCCCUGCCUUAAGGACACUGCUCAUUCAAUAGCACCUAGCAUCCACCGUCCCCAUGUUAAAUGCAGGAGCAGUCAUUUAAAAUACUGGGUCUUCCUCUCUGGUCUCAGCCUAGAUAGGUCUAGAGACAGUCAACUGACUCAAUCUGGGCCAAUCAGGUCUCUUUCUUGAGAUUUUUGAAUUUUGCACCCAGGCUGAAGCUUUAAGGCCAAGGAGCUGUUGGCAGCUCUGUUGCUCCAUUUAUUACCAUUCCUGAGUGCCAGCCCUUGUCUUUGGACCUGGCUUUGAUACCUUUGUUCCCUCAUAGCUCCUGUCUUCACCCAAACUGAUUGCAGUGGUUCAAGCUGUCAGCCCCAUGUAUAUCCAGUAGCAUCUGAAUUCACAAGGCACACGGCUUAGUUUUCAGGGAACUAAGCUGAGAUAAGGUAAGGGAUGUUCUAUACCCCUUGCUCUUCUUGGGAAAGACCUUGAAUUCAGACCUCUUAAGGAUGCUGAGGUUCUUGGACACAAACCCUCUUUGCUUCUCCACUAUGACAGCUUCCUACCCCUCCCAACUCCCGUAUCUUUAUGAGCUACUAAUUCUUCUUAGUACCUACAAUCUCACUGUAAUGAGACAUGGUCUUGGGAAGCAAUGAGUCUCUUUUGUGCUAAGAAGUAAAUAUUCUCGAAUGUGAUGAUUUGUACUCAGGGUGUUGGGAAGUGGGGAGCGAUAUGUUUAAAAUUUCUAGAGGGCAUUCUCUUGAGUAAAAAAAUGCACACGCAAUAUAUCAAUUGUUUUCAUAAUCUAAAACAUAGAAACAACUCAAUGUAACAGUUUUGUCUGGUUUUAGAUAUGCAGUAGUGUGAGAUUACAUUGAGGCGCAGAUUACAAAAUGAUUGAGAACCAUUUCAGAUUUUCUUAACCAUUUUUAAUAAGGUUUAACUUACAUGCAGUAAAGUAAACAGGUAAUAAGUGUAUAGCCCAGUGAAUUUAGUACAUAUGUAUACACCUGUAUAACUACCACCCAGAUCAAAAUUUAGAACAUUUCCAAUACCCUAGAGGGCUUCCUCAUAUCUCCUCCCAGUCAAUAACCACCACCUCCAAGAUAACCAUUCUGACCUCUAAUUAUCAUAGAUAACUUUUGCAUGUCUUGGAAUUUCAUAUAAAUGUAAUCAUACACUACAUACUCUUUUGUAUCUGCCAUCUUUUGUUUGACAUUUUAAAUGUUAAAUUCAUCCAUAUUGUAUGAAUAGUACUUUGUCCUUUUUCAUUGCUGCAUUAACGCAAAUGCAAUCGAAUCAUUGAAUAAACAUGCCUGUAAUUUAUUUGCCUAUUUUACUGUUGAUAGACAUUUGGGCAAUUUUUAGUUUAGGCCUAUAGGAAUAAGGUUGCCAUGAACAUUCUUGUACAUGUCUUUGGUAGACACAAGCACUUUUUGUUGGAUAUAAACUCCAGUGAGUCAUACAGCAUAGGUAUCGUUAGCUUCAGCAGAGACUGCCAAGUAGUUUUCCAAAGAAGUUGUAUCCACUCCACAAUUUAAACAGUUUGUUUACCAAAUAGCCACUGAGUACCUAUUAUGAGCCAGCCACUCCACUAGGCAUUGGGAAUACUGAGAGGAAGCAUGCACGUCCAUGGCCUAGAAGCGCUAAUAGCCUGGUAAUAUCAACAGAUACUUUUUAAAUAAUAUGGUAAGUGAUAGGUGAGAGGUGUGCCUGACAGGAGGAUCCUUUGGGGCUCUAAGGUUAGAUUCCCCGACUCCAGGUGACCAAAUGGAAGCUUGGCCAGGUAAAGAAGGGAUGGCAUUCGAGGAGAAGGUUGCAGAGGCUCCUCUAGCCCCUGCCAAGCCCUGCAGGCUCUUCUCUGGCUGGGAGUCUCAUUAAUGGAGCAGCCAGGCCCAGGCCAGGCUGUCAGGAGCGAACAAACGGCUGCCAACAUGAGCAAUGAUUUAAAGGAGAAGGUUAAGACGUCGGUGAGAUGAAUACCAUUGACUUCGCUGCCAUCCUGGAAGCAAUUCAUCAGGGCGGCUUGGCAAAGAGGGGCAUAAAUCCCUAGCCAGCGAGGCCAAGCAGGGCUCUGGGAGGAGGAACAGGAUGUGAUGGCAGCUUCCAGAGCUGUCUCCAGCUGGGCCUGUGCCAGCAUUUUGAAAAGCGUCAGUUGGGAGGAAUCCCCAGAAGAUGACUUUGUAGCUAGGGUCCCUCCUGUCCUGAGUCGUGGGUCACCGAGGAGGACACCCUCCCUAGUCACUUGCUGUUUGUGCUUCCCAUUCUGUGCACCCACUGGAGGUUUUUCUUGAAGCAGGCUCUGCAUUGCCUUCUCCUUCUCUUCAGCCUGAAUCUUGGCACUCCUGGAGACUCUUGGUUCAAAUGAUGUAUUUAUUUUCUUAACGAAAGGGAAAGAUUUAAGAGUGGGUGUGAAAUGCAUCCUCCUCCCUCCUCUGACCCUCCCACGUACUUCCUCCGGCAACCUGAGGCCCAGCUCAGCAGACACUUGGGAAGUCAACAGAAACAAACAUGGAGUGGGCAUUGCAGAGCACGUGAGUGGAUGAGAGAUUUUUAUGAGUGAAAUUUGCUCACAAGCUUCUUUAAUAAUGUUAUUCAUCUUUCUGUCAAAGUCAUCACAUUAAUGUAGCUGGAGAGAUUUAGAGGAGAUGAAUUAAGACUUAAAUACACAAAAUGACUUGGGGAAUAUUUAAAUACAAUACAUUUGAUUCUGGUGCAGCAUCCUUCCUCACGGGUGUUGCUCAUGACUCUUUCCAGGCCCACACAGCCUGGGAAUCAACAACUCCCCCUCUCCUGCCGCCUCCCUCCAAUGCUUCAUUCAUCCAACGCUUCCUGCACCUACCAUGUGUGAACUCAUUGUCUCCACAGAGCACAUAUACAAUAGCCUGGGUGCCUGUUCUGGCUUAGACAGGCCACUUUUCCUUUGGGUACCUCAGUUUCUUUAUUUGGAAAAUGGGUGGGGUUGGCUCUGAAUUUCAAAGGAUGCAGAGAUUCCUUAGAGACAGUUGCAGGGAAACAAAGGGAGCCCAGAUGCAGAGUCAUGGACCCUCUCCCAUCCCUUCAUCACAGUUCAUUGCUAUCUACCUGUACGUACUGGAAGUUGUGUAUUAUUUUAUUUAAAAUAAAAACGCUUUGGCUUUAAA